rnacentral:rRNA from 1 species
AUUGAACGCUGGCGGCAGGCCUAACACAUGCAAGUCGAGCGGGGUUUUCGGACCUAGCGGCGGACGGGUGAGUAAUGCGUAGGAAGCUACCCGAUAGAGGGGGAUACCAGUUGGAAACGACUGUUAAUACCGCAUAAUGUCUACGGACCAAAGUGUGGGACCUUCGGGCCACAUGCUAUCGGAUGCGCCUACGUGGGAUUAGCUAGUUGGUGGGGUAAUGGCUCACCAAGGCGACGAUCCCUAGCUGGUUUGAGAGGAUGAUCAGCCACACUGGAACGGAGACACGGUCCAGACUCCUACGGGAGGCAGCAGUGGGGAAUAUGGGACAAUGGGCGCAAGCCUGAUCCAGCCAUGCCGCGUGUGUGAAGAAGGCCUUCGGGUUGUAAAGCACUUUCAGUAGGGAGGAAGAGUUGAGUGUUAAUAGUACUCAGCUUUGACGUUACCUACAGAAGAAGCACCGGCUAACUCUGUGCCAGCAGCCGCAGUAAUAC